rnacentral:lncRNA from 10 species
UUCUUUUUCAAAGCUGACCCUUAGAGAGCCCACAUUCUCAAAUUCUGUCUUCACUGCUCUCUCAUUUCCCUUCAUCCCUGUUCCUCUGUUUGAAUACACACAACACACACACACACAUCCCAAGAGGGGACUCCACUAAAAAUAACUCACCCAUUUCCCUAGGAGGGAACUAGGCACCUGCAGGUCAACAAGGCCUGAGAAGCCAGAGUUCUUCAGAGUGUGGGCUCCACCUUAAUGUGAAUCUGCCUCUUUAAUUAAUAUUUCCAUGAACUUGGCUGCUAAUGUAUCCUCUUUUUCUUCAGUUUCUUCAUCUGUAAAAUGGGGGUGAUGAUCAUUGUACCUACAUGUAAAGUACAUUACAAAAGGAUGCCACUCCUUUAUUCUUUGCUAAUAAUAGCCACAUUUAUUGAGGCCUUCUAGGCCAGAUGCUGUUCCAAGUGCAAGUUUUGGUAGGCAGAAUAGGAGAUUGGUGGUGGGGGUGGGAGUACUAUGAGCGUGACGUGGGAGAAAGAGAAAGAGCAUCAAAAAAGGAACUAAGAGUUGCAGAAUAGCAAAACUGAAGUUCAGUUCAAAACAAAUUUCAUCUCUUCUUUUUCCAGUUUUCCUAGACUUAGUCCUGAUCAGUUACUCCAGAAAACCUACAGGAAUCUGGCUGAGGGAGACAGUGCGGACUAAUAUUUCAUUUCUCCCCACUCCUCCCUCUGAGGAAUCCAGGACUUCAUUGUGGACCCCUGUAUUAGUCCAUUUUCACACUGCUACAGAGAGCUACCUGAGACUGGUUUUACAACUUGAGGGAAAAAAGUGUGACUCUGAGAUGUACCAGCUGUUAGGCCAGAGACAACCCUCAGAUCACCUGGGACUUGCUCCUUGUUGCCUCCUCUUUGAUCUUUGCAUCAGAGGGCCCUGCCAGUCUCUGUCCUCACAGUACCCAGUCUCUUGGAGCCCAAAUGGACUACGACAGUGCCCAAGAAAGACAUAAGGGGAAGAGUACCAGCUGAGAAUACAUACCAAAGAUGCUGUCUCCAGCACUGCAUGGGACAAGGAUGAAGCCUCAUCAGCCAGCUGAACUGGAACAAGUAUAUUCUAAAACUCCAUCCUAUUUUAAUUUUUCUAUUUUUAAUGCAGAGUUAAUCCAUAUCAGCUUUCUUAACCAUAAAGCCAUUCCAAGCGCUAACUUUUGUUUAAUUAGCACUUUGCAAAUUAAAACUUCAGUGUGAAAAGUAUUUUAAGCAUAUUGGAUGGAACAAAGUAUAGUUUGAGAAUGUUAUCCAUCAUAUAGGAAUGGAUCAGACAGAACACUGUGAAAUCAACAAUGUGCUUUUAUUAAUAUUCCUCAAUCCCAGUCAUUAUCCAAUAAACCUCAUUUCUUCCUUCUUUUAUAUGCUUUGACACUUGGGAUCAUCACUAAAGCCCCUUUCAAGCUUCAACAUUCCAUUUUUUCCCAGACGUUUGCUAGUCUAGUCAAUUUAUUAAGAACUGAAAUAUAAAGAGGUAAAAUGUAAAAUAAUCUGAGUAGUAGAAAGAACACUGAAUUUAAGAAUCAGAAAAUCUCUUUCAGUCAAGAAUGUGUACAUCUGACUUUGUAAACUUGGGGCAUAAAUCAUUUUAACCUCUCUAGGUUCUAUUACUAUCACUAUUUUGGGGUGUGAAUAAAUUAUAAGUCUAGACUCACCUAUGAUGUCAGAAUGAAUUAAGCAGAUAUGGAAGCACUUUUGAAACAUAAAUUGCGAUUGCAACUGUCCAAGGCCACAAAAGAAAUUACUAAAAUAACUCAAAGGAAGUGUUAUAUAUCAAGGAUUCAAAACACAAGAAACAUCCCUAAAAUAUAACAUUCUAACUGAUUUUCUUAAAGAUUGAUCUUUUUUAAAAGUCACAUAAGGGUAAUGAUUGAGGAAUGAUCUGCCACAUCUUGCAGCCUGUGAUGUAUUGUUCAGUGAUAUCAUUGUGGCCAACGAGGCACCAAAGAGCAGGCGAUCACAGUGACAUCAUGGCAGGAUCACUGACAAUGCUCGUGAUGUGACGAUUCUUUAUCAUUUAUAUGUUGGGCUGGUUAUAAAGUAUUUAAUUGGUAUUGUUCACAUUUAUAUCAUGUGAUGAGACAUUCUUGUCACCAUUAUUCAGUUUCUGAAUAUUCUUGGUGAAUGAUCUUCAGGGAGCCCUGGCUUCUGACCGAGGGUUUCUAUCCUUUGUCAAGCCACCCUAUUCCCUCACUUUUCAAUCACUUUACCUAUGACUAAUAGAAAGUUCAAAGCAAAAACCUAUUGAUUAAUUUUCAACUAGCAACAGAUAAUGAAACACAUUUUGCAUGUACAUUUUUGGAUUCCCAUUCUCCUGACCAAAGUAAAUUGGCUGGAAAUAAAAGACAUGUAAAAAAUCUCAUGCAGUUGUACUAAUUGAUCUGAGAGGAAAAAUGUAAAAUAUGUAGAUACCUUGAUUGUCUCCUCUUCAUCCCAUUGACUAGGGAGGGAUUCCACACUACGGUUAUGGGGAUGGCCCAAGAUAUGACAUCUAAUACUGGACAGAUGAGAUUGACAGUAGUGUACAGUCCAGGGGAGGAGAGGAAGAUACUGCACCAUGCAGGGCUGAAUGGGGAUGUGCUCAGGAACAGAGUGAAUAAGCAGACCCUGUGGAAAGCAGGCUUUAUAGUAGCAAGAGCAUGGAGUGACUCCUUGUUUCUCAGAUGGAUGUGAUCGGCUUGUUUGAAUAAUUCAGUGGGCUGGCAGGGAACUGAAGUCUACUACUCAGGGAUAAGCAGGCACUGUGCCUUGUCCUUGUAAUAAGGAGGGUUGUUUGGCUAGGACACCUUAUCAGUAGGAGCGAAGUGUGUAGGAUGAUGCAGUUAGGACAUCAGAGGCCCUCCCAGUUUAGAUGUCAAAGUAGCACAUCAUUGUUAUUUUAAGCCUUACACUACAACAGACAUCAUAUAAAGACACUUACCAAUUUGGACCAGGAGGCACAGCUCCCAUAACUUCUAUCGUCCAUCACUUUUUACCCCUGCUCGUAAGUCAAACAAUAAAGGAAAGUCCUCUCAAAGUCUUAGACAGAAUUAGGAGUGCUAAGAGCAUUGUUGAGGCCAUUCCUAGCCUUCCUUCUUGUUCAGAAACUACAGAUCGAAAGUCAAGGGGCCCUCCUUGGCAGCCUGCAGCUGGUGGCUGCCCUGUCUCCAGCAAAGGUUUUUCUGACUGUUCAGGCACACAACUGUGACUCCCCACGAGCAGACCCACUUACGUUUACCAAGACAAGAUAACAGAGUCAAUUAGCCUUGUCAGUCACUGUGACUAUAACUUAGAAGAAUAGAAGCCCACUGAUCACACUUAAUGAAAAUACAAGGUGACAAGAAAGUCAUCUGCAGCUGUUUAUGGACAAGAAUUUGGGGAAAAUGUAUUAAGAACAGUUAUAAUUAGAGAUACACACAAAAACAGAUAUGCUAUAUGCUAUAUUAUAAUAAAAUUGACAUUAUAAUAUUUACUAUAUUUACAUACUGAAUACAUUUAAAACAAUAAAAUUAAGUGAAAACAUUUUUGUUGUGCUUUUCUGUUCAGUGAUACUGUCUGGUUUUUUUAUUAAAGUUUUAAAUGUUAAAUGAUGACAUUUCAAAUACACAGCCAAGUACCAAAAUUAUUAAUAGACACUCAUGUACCAACCUACCAUAUUAACAGACAUUAACAUUUUGCUUUACUUGCCUUAGAAUCAAUUUUCUCUGUUUUAAAAAGCAGAAAGCAUUAAGCACAGAUAAAGCACCCCCAUCUCAUCCUCUACCUUUCUCUCCAGAGGUAACCAUCACCCUGAAGUUAGUAUGCUUCUUUUCAUGUAUGUACAUUUAAACUUAUGUUAAUAUUAUAUAGACAUGUCCAUAAAUUAUAUAUACUGUUAUUUUGUGUGCUUUAAAUAUUUAUACAAAUACUAGAAACCAUAUGGUACAUUUCCUUUUGUAACUUGCUUUUCUUGCCAACAUGUUUUGACAUUUAUCUGUGUUAAUAUAUUUAGAUCAAGUUUGUUCAUUUUAACUUUCUGUAGUAUUUUAUUACAUGAAUAAAUGAGUUUAUUUACUCAUUUGCUUACCGAGAACAGUGGUGUUUGUUUUUUCUUUGUUUUUGAAGCAACAAGAAAUAUAAUAGAAACAAUCUAUACUGCAAGGAAG